UUUUUUAGACGGAGUUUCACUCUUCUUGCCCAGGCUGGAGUACAAUGGUACAAUCUUGGCUCACUGCAACCUCUGCCUCCCAAGUUCAAGCGAUUCUCCUGCUUCAGCAUCCGGAGUAGCUGUGAUUACAAACGUGCCACUAUACCCGGAGCUUAUGGUCUUUUCUUAACAUUUCUUGAUGACGAGGAUGGGAUUUGAAGUGGCACCCUUGCUUUUUCCCAACACUAUCUGGACCAAUGCAUUUGCACCUGCAAGAACCCCUUGAGCUCACUUAUCUUCCUGGCUGCACCAGGGAGAAAUGAGGUGGCUGCCUUUUCACUGUGUCUUCACAUGACUUUUCAUCUGUGUAAGAAAACCCCUGCAUGUCUUUGUGUAUUCAAAUUUUCUUUUCUUAUAAGGACAGCUGUCCUUAGAUUGGAUUAGGGCCCACUCUAAUCAGCCUCGUUUUAACUUAAUUACACUUUAUACACCCUAUUUCCAAAUAUAGUCACAUUCUGAGGUACUGGGGCUUAGAGAUUUAAUAUGAAUUUUGGGGGAAUACAAUUCAUCCCAUAACAGUGAGGAAAACAUUUUAGGGGACAUAAAGUAGUCAUUUACUAUUAUUAUCAACCAUUACUAAUUUUCCGUCUAAUAACAAGACCUUUCUCUCCUCGGAGGACCGCAUUUCAGGCUUUAUUAAGAGAUCACCUCUAUCUUCCCAAGAGUGGGCACAUAUCAAAUAUCUGGCCUAUCGGAAUACCAAAUCUCUCUCGCUACAAUGAUUUCUUCUAGGUUAACACAUUAUUCAAGCUAAAAUAGUGUGUGUCUUCAUUGUGCCUUGUUAACUAGAACCAUCAGGAAAGACAGUUCAUUUAGAGAGAUAAGUUUAGAUUGUACAUUGGCAAUC
rnacentral:lncRNA from 10 species